GAUGGGCCUGGAGAAUGUCAUCACUCUCAAAUUCAUUGACAGAGCUAUGGAUGCAAGGACUGACUGUCCACGAUAUCAAAAUCAUAGCUUUGAGGCUAUACAUCGUUUUUUACAUUUACUUUGUUUACAAAACAAGCUUAUGCACUCUAUUCAAUCCGUAACACGGAUGUUCAGCGUUACAGCAUGAUUGAAAUUUAAAGGCAAUGUUCCUGCGUUAGCGGCAAAUGUUGGCGUUUAACAUUUCUAUCACACAAUCUUUAAUGCUUCAGCGAUACAGAUUGAAUAGAGCCCUAUAUUUUGGGUUCUGAUGGGGUACGACUGGUAAACUAAGCUAAUGAGGCAUUUAUGAGUUAUAUUCUUCAAGAAUCAAUGGGUACAUAUCAUUAAUUUACGUCCAAAAAUGUAUGUAGCAAAUGCUGAAUUGCCCCUUUAAAAGCUGCAUUGUCGACCAUGCGAGAUCGGAUUGAAACUCAAUUAUUGUCCGUGUUCGAGAGCAUCAAAACCGUGAUGUAUCAUGGGUAAAUUAUGAUUGACUGAUAUUGUAUAGUUAUUUAUGAUGCAAGGUGAUGCGACUCGCUUUUAAAGUAUGCUGCAAUGUCAUUCUUUCCUCACCUCUUUCUCAAAAUGCAUUGAAGGGAAAGGUCCAAGUGAAAGGGGCUUGGAUCUUGGAUUCAUCCAUUGCUACAUAAUACAUAUUAGGAACUUCCUCAUUCCGUCUCCUCAGACCCUCCCCUAGUCAAGUAUCAACCCUGCACAAAUCAAGUCUUAAUCCUCCCCUAGUCAAUCCUCACCCCUGAUCUAGUCAAGACUCACUUCUCCUUCUCAUCCCUCACCCUUCCACUCUUUUAUUCACAAUAGUUAGAUUUUCCAUUGGCUGAAAUACAUGCUAAGAGACUGAAAGAAUCGUUGUUUUUCUAAGGACCCCCAAAAAACUGAGGCAGUUGGAAAAUGUAUUAAUAUACGGAGAACUGUGAAAGCCCGUCCGCAGAUGAAGAGGUCCCUAUGAAUGUCCCAAGAGACUAAGGGUAUAUACUUGUAUGCCACAGAGCAAGUAAUGCGUCUGCAUCCAGAGGUGGAGGUGAAGACCUUGAGGAAGGUUAGCUGCCAGAUAAAAACUUCAAAAUGAAAGAAAACUGCUUGGCAGGGAAAGAAACACAUUUGUAUAAAUAAUAAUAUUAAGGGCUUUAUUCAAUCAGAUCUGCUUUAAGACGAUUAAAAGCCAACUUAUGCUUGCUCUGGCAAUGCGAUCCGGAGGCGCCGUAUGGAGGUUGUGACGCAAUUGUGGAGCCUCUGGAGGCUUGCGCAGGCCAAAUCAAGCUCUGCACAGCAUCGCUGUGCGCCUCCCAAAUCUGGUAGCAAUGCGGAGGGCUCCGUACAGCUCUGCAUUGCCAUGAUUGGUUGAUGGUAGGUGGGGGUGGUACGUCCUGUAUAAACACAAACUCAAUUUCUUGACAACUUCCUUCACAACAGCUCUGCUCUGCGAAGUCCAAGAGGUAUUAAUACCCAUACUUCUGCAGAGGCCGCAUGCAGUAAAUGCUGUUCUGUGAAUACAGACCCCAGGAUGACCGUAAAUCAGCUCCCAGCAUUAUAGGGUAACGUGGGGUAACUGGCCUCCUGUGGUAACUGCCCCAGAGGUUUGGACUCAAUUCACAAAUUGGAUGACUUGAGACGCGACUUGAUAGAAAAUAAAGUUACUUGAUUUGGAGACUCUGGACUUUGACUUGAGUCUGAAGACUUGAAAUGAUCUGGCCAGGUUUUGUAAAAUGUUGUCACUAAUUUUGUGGCACAGCGUCUCCAGUGGAUUACACUCCAUGAAGCCAGAGACAGUAUCACACUUGCAAAAAAAAAAACACUAUAGUGAAACACACUCUGCCCUAUGAUUGGACCAGCAAACUGUCAAUCAACACAGGUCAGGUGCGCUAGCAGUGAGAAGGUUUUGGGGGGGGGUUGCAAGUGUGAAACUGAAUGGGAAAAUAAAAAAGUCAUACAUAUUUUAAUAUCCUACCAUUAAUUUUUUAUAUUUAUACCUUUGCUUAUUUGUUCUGGUCACUUAUCAUUUAUUAAAUCUGUGCUUCAGAACCAAAAAGUUGUGAGUCUUGACCAAUGUCCAGUCAUCAGCAUUGGAACGCGAAGGUGGGUGCACAUACCUAGAUUAGUGGCCAGAUAGCGCAUGUUUAAUUUUCUCUGUUUUUGCCUGGCAAAAACAUAGUAGCCAACCUACUUUAAUAUUAUUCAUAUAAAGUGCCAUUUAGCGAACUGCUACGGACGAAUCUUUGCCUCUGGGUAAGAGCGUUUGCUAAAUGACUGUACAUGACAAUAGGCUACCUGGUGAUUUCAUUGAUCAUUUUCACAUUUCAGAUAGGCAUUGUUUGGGUGGGUUAUAAACCUCAGUGGUGGUACUGCAUAUGUCUAAAGAUCGCUGUAACAUCGCACUACCUUCAAUACUUAUGGGAUGAAAAUGUAACAUUCUGGUGAAUUGAUUACGAUAUUUGUGAGGAAGAAAAAUAAUAAAGACAGAUCGUGCUUUCGGUCUGAUCCUGCAACCUCCGCUGCAUAGGCCUAAAGGUAGGCCGUAUGAUCCUACUUGCGCUGGAUUCCAGAGAAGUGACAAUAUGACAUGAUAUCCCUAGUUGAUAUUGACUGCUAACAAAUCCAGGUGUAAAAUGCCAACCUGGUCUCAGAGCAUUUCGUAUUAUUCUGUACGUAAAUCCGACCCUCCACUUACACCUACAGCAUUAACAAAUUACUGUACUUUACUUUAUAUGGAUUAUCGUAACAAAUGCACUGACGUGUUCAAAUUAUAUAGCAUGUCAAGAUAUGUUGUAUUUCCAUUGUGAAUUCAUGCAAUGAAAUUGAAAAAGGAUUAAAUUAUUGCUCUCACAAUUUCCACGGACAAAGAGACGCCUUCAAGACCGCUUAGCGGAACACAAGUACGCCAUACGGGUAGGCAAUGAAGACUACCCCAUGGCAAGGCACUACAAGUCCUUACACCAUGGUAACCCUGCCUCCCUACAAGCUAUGGGUAUUGAUCAUAUUCCGGCCUCUAUUAGAAAAGGGGACCGUCUGAAACAGUUAAACCAAAGGGAAAGUUUUUGGUUUUACAAACUACAGGCCACUAAAUACCCUGGUUUAAAUGAAGAUAUGGAUUUCUCACCCUUUCUGUAGGGUUGUGAUAGGUCCAUUUGCUGUCAUCUAGUGGACAUUGUGCUCAUUUGCCCUCAGCUAUGUUUAGACUGUUGUUGUUCAUGUUUUGCUGUUUUCUAGUGUACUAUGGAAUAUAUUGCUUUCUUAUUUUUGACACUUUUCCUAGUCAUAUUUAAGGUUAGAACUACCUUUCUAAGUGUUCUGAUACUUCUAACUUGGAGUUGUAUUUGUAUGAUAACAUAGUUACAGUAUUUCACUUGUUAAUGUGUAUAGGAUUGCUUACUAGGUGUGUCCAAUCAACUUUGUAACCACUCCCUCUUCAAAUUAGGGCUAAUUGGAAAAGCUGUUCAAAAGAGGACAUUGUAUUAUUUCUUUGUACUCCCUGACGAAGGCCAUGCAGCCGAAACGCGUCGGAUUAAAAAAAAAAUCUUGUUUCUAUUGAACAU